AUGAUCAGCAUGUCAGGUCAACCAACUGGCAUAAUGUUCGUUUUAGACCCUGUAGGUACGGUAAGGGUGUUCCUGACCUCUGAUGUGAUUUACAGUAGCAGUAUGCUAUAUAAUGAAGCGCCGGAUAAGGAAGACCUGGUAGGAACCUGCGUAAUCCCAACUAAUCUGCCUCUAUUUCUCUCCACUUUUCUUGAACAUAGGAGAGUUUGGAAGCGGCAGACUGGGAAUGUCAGCUGGAAUAUGGAGCUAAACCGAGCGGACCCCGCAUGUCGGCCAUCCCCCUCAACACUCCAGCAGACAGUCAAGUUGCGUCUAGAGAAGACCUCUAUCUCUAGAGUGCCCUGGGCAGCCUUCUUCUACCCAUCUAAGUUCCUGUGGCUGAUCUACAACUCCAUCACCACCAUCCACCCCAGCAGCUUCCUUAAAUUGAAGGAGACCAUACACGGCCCUUUAAAAGAAGAUGAUCAUUGGCCAGCAGAAGGUGCCCCAGAGACAUAUCAGUUUUUUACCAUCUUUAGAGAGAUCGAAGGUGAGAGAAUCACCCACUUAUCUGUGUAA
rnacentral:lncRNA from 8 species